UACGUAGGGGGCAAGCGUUGUCCGGAAUUAUUGGGCGUAAAGAGCGUGUAGGCGGCCAGAUAAGUCCGCUGUGAAAUCUCGAGGCUCAACUUCGAGCUGUCGGUGGAAACUGUCUGGCUAGAGUCCGGAAGAGGAGAAUGGAAUUCCUGGUGUAGCGGUGAAAUGCGCAGAUAUCAGGAGGAACACCGGUGGCGAAGGCGGUUCUCUGGGCCUGUACUGACGCUGAGGAACGAAAGCGUGGGGAGCGAACAGG
rnacentral:rRNA from 1 species